CCUGAGUAACCAGGAGCUGUGAAAGCAGCUCAUAUGCACUGCAGCAGUUGGUGGGAAGCACUGCUCCUUGCCGGCUGCCUGGCGCAUGGGUGACGAGCGUUCCCAGCAGAAGCAGCCAGGUCAGUGAGCUGAGCCGUCAGGGAAAUCAGCUGCCGCAUGCCGAUAAUGCCUUCAUUGUCACUUUUGACUGGAUUCCUAUCGGGAAGCUUGGAGAGCCUCCAAAGCGAGGACUGGUGGUCUACGGAAAAGAAAUCUGUGGCAGUAAUCAAAGGAGAGCUUGUCUCCUGAGCUUCCAUAAUUGGGAGAUGCAAGUUUGCGCCGUUCAUUAACCUAGAGAUGAGUGAUGCCAAACAGGAUCCUGGAGACUCUUGAAGCAAGGACGCAGAGGUCCCCCGGCCAUCAGCACAGUCAUUGCUGUGGGAUGGGAACAGCUUUAGGACAGCGCUGAGAGAGACACACAAAUGCUGCUUAAAAAACGAGGAGCGGAAGAGGCAGUGACGCAUUGCGUGGCAGUUUGUAUGCUCUAUUGGUUCGGAUGAAAACCAAACAGGGUCCCAGGUCCCGAGGGAUGCACAGCCUCAGCUUUCUGCUUUGUGUCCCACCUGGGGCAGCUGGUGUUUGGGGCCAGCUCUCCGACCUGCUGAGGUCCGUGGCCACCUUUUUUUCUGCAGCAGAGAGCUGUUGCUAUGGGUUUGUCACUGGUCAUUCGGGGAGACAGUCAGCUGUGUAGCUCCUCUUUCAGAAAGAAACCUGAAGGCGUGGAUAGGCUAUUACUGAUGUACAAGUCCUUGUUUCUGCAUGUGAUAAAUGCAUGCAAAGGCAAGCAUUAU
ensembl:lncRNA